AUUGAACGCUGGCGGCAGGCCUAACACAUGCAAGUCGAGCGGAUGAGUGGAGCUUGCUCCAUGAUUCAGCGGCGGACGGGUGAGUAAUGCCUAGGAAUCUGCCUGGUAGUGGGGGACAACGUUUCGAAAGGAACGCUAAUACCGCAUACGUCCUACGGGAGAAAGUGGGGGAUCUUCGGACCUCACGCUAUCAGAUGAGCCUAGGUCGGAUUAGCUAGUUGGUGAGGUAAAGGCUCACCAAGGCGACGAUCCGUAACUGGUCUGAGAGGAUGAUCAGUCACACUGGAACUGAGACACGGUCCAGACUCCUACGGGAGGCAGCAGUGGGGAAUAUUGGACAAUGGGCGAAAGCCUGAUCCAGCCAUGCCGCGUGUGUGAAGAAGGUCUUCGGAUUGUAAAGCACUUUAAGUUGGGAGGAAGGGCAGUAAGUUAAUACCUUGCUGUUUUGACGUUACUCGCAGAAUAAGCACCGGCUAACUCUGUGCCAGCCGCCGCCGUAAGAC
rnacentral:rRNA from 1 species